UACGGGGGGGGCAAGCGUUGUUCGGAAUUACUGGGCGUAAAGGGCUCGUAGGCGGCCAACUAAGUCGGACGUGAAAUCCCUCGGCUUAACCGGGGAACGGCGUCCGAUACUGGAUGGCUUGAGUUUGGGAGAGGGAUGCGGAAUUCCAGGUGUAGCGGUGAAAUGCGUAGAUAUCGGAAAGAACACCAACGGCGAAAGCACUCUGCUGGGCCGACACUGACACUGAGAGACGAAAGCUAGGGGAGCGAAUGGG
rnacentral:rRNA from 1 species